rnacentral:rRNA from 1 species
UACGUAGGGGGCAAGCGUUGUCCGGAUUUAUUGGGCGUAAAGAGCGUGUAGGCGGCCAGAUAGGUCAGCUGUGAAAACUCGAAGCUCAACCUCGAGACGUCGGUUGAAACCAUCUGGCUAGAGUCCGGAAGAGGAGAGUGGAAUUCCCGGUGUAGCGGUGAAAUGCGCAGAUAUCAGGAAGAACACCCGUGGCGAAGGCGGCUCUCUGGUACGUGACUGACGCUGAGACGCGAAAGCGUGGGGAGCGAACAGG